rnacentral:pre_miRNA from 7 species
ACCCAAGUCCAGGCCUGCUGACCCCUAGUCCAGUGCUUGUGGUGGCUACUGGGCCCUGAACUAGGGGUCUGGAGACCUGGGUUUGAUCUCCACAGG